CUAGACGAGUUUGAUCCUGGCUCAGAACGAACGCUGGCGGCAGGCCUAACACAUGCAAGUCGAGCGAGGUAGCAAUACCUAGCGGCGGACGGGUGAGUAACGCGUGGGAACGUACCCUUUGCUACGGAAUAGCCCCGGGAAACUGGGAGUAAUACCGUAUGUGCCCCUUGGGGGAAAGAUUUAUCGGCAAAGGAUCGGCCCGCGUUGGAUUAGGUAGUUGGUGGGGUAAUGGCCUACCAAGCCGACGAUCCAUAGCUGGUUUGAGAGGAUGAUCAGCCACACUGGGACUGAGACACGGCCCAGACUCCUACGGGAGGCAGCAGUGGGGAAUCUUAGACAAUGGGCGCAAGCCUGAUCUAGCCAUGCCGCGUGAGUGAUGAAGGCCUUAGGGUUGUAAAGCUCUUUCAGAUGGGAAGAUAAUGACGGUACCAUCAGAAGAAGCCCGGCUAACUCCGUG
rnacentral:rRNA from 1 species